rnacentral:rRNA from 1 species
UAAUCAUUAGUUUCUUAAUUAGGAGCUUGUAUGAAUGGUUGGACGAGGGAAUUACUGUCUCAUAUUAAUUUUUAUUAGAAUUUUAUCUUUAAGUUAAAAAGCUUAAAUGAAUUUAAAAGACGAGAAGACCCUAUAGAGUUUUAUAUUACUUUUUAUAAGAAUUAAUUUGAAUUAUUUUAUUUUUAUCAAAAGUAGUAUUUUGUUGGGGUGAUAGGAAAAUUUGAAGAACUUUUCUUUAUUAAUACAUAGAUUUAUGAGUGAAUGAUCCAAUAAUUUUGAUUAUAAGAUUAAAUUACCUUAGGGAUAACAGCGUAAUUUUACUAGAGAGUUCUAAUCGAAAGUAAAGUUUGCGACCUCGAUGUUGGAUUAAAAUGCAUUAUUGGUGUAGAAGCUAAUAAAUUAAGUCUGUUCGACUUUUAAAAUUUU